UGGGGAAUCUUGCGCAAUGGGGGAAACCCUGACGCAGCCAUGCCGCGUGAAUGAUGAAGGUCUUAGGAUUGUAAAAUUCUUUCAGCGGGGACGAUAAUGACGGUACCCGCAGAAGAAGCUCCGGCUAACUUCGUGCCAGCAGCCGCGGUAAUACGAAGGGGGCUAGCGUUGCUCGGAAUUACUGGGCGUAAAGGGCGCGUAGGCGGACAGUUAAGUCAGAGGUGAAAUCCCAGGGCUCAACCCUGGAAUUGCCUUUGAUACUGGCUGUCUUGAGUAUGGGAGAGGUAAGCGGAACUCCGAGUGUAGAGGUGAAAUUCGUAGAUAUUCGGAAGAACACCAGUGGCGAAGGCGGCUUACUGGCCCAUUACUGACGCUGAGGCGCGAAAGCGUGGGGAGCAAACAGGAUUAGAUACCCCCGUAGUCC
rnacentral:rRNA from 1 species